rnacentral:rRNA from 1 species
UAACAAUGAUUUCCCUAGUAACGGCGAGUGAAGAGGAAAGAGCUCAAAGUUGGAACCUGUUUGGCUUAGCUAAACCGGAUUGUAAACUGUAGAAGUGUUUUCCAGACACGCCUGGUAAAAAAGUCCUUUGGAACAGGGCAUCAUAGAGGGUGAGAAUCCCGUCAUUGGCCAGAGCUGUUGUCUUUUGUGAUACAUUUUCAAAGAGUCAGGUUGUUUGGGAAUGCAGCCUAAAUUGGGUGGUAAAUCUCACCUAAAGCUAAAUAUUUGCGAGAGACCGAUAGCGAACAAGUACCGUGAGGGAAAGAUGAAAAGAACUUUGAAAAGAGAGUUAAACAGUAUGUGAAAUUGUUAAAAGGGAACCGUUUGGAGCCAGACUGGCUUAACUGUAAUCAAUCUAGGCUUUGGCCUGGAUGCACUUGCGGUUUAUGCCGGCCAACGACAGUUUUGUUUGAGGGAAAAAAUUACAUUGAAUGUGGCCCUUCGGGGUGUUAUAGCUUUGUAAAAAAUACCUUGGACUGGACUGAGGAACGCAGUGAAUGCCUUUAGGCAAGAUUGCUGGGUGCUUUCGCUAAUAAAUGCUAGAAUUUCUGCUUCGGGUGGUGCUAGUGUUUAAAGGAGGAACUCGCUUAGUAUAUUUUUUAUUCGCUUAGGUUGUUGGCUUAAUCACUCUAAAUGACCCGUCUUGAAACACGGACCAA